rnacentral:rRNA from 1 species
GACGAACGCUGGCGGCGUGCUUAACACAUGCAAGUCGAACGAUGAAGCCGGAGCUUGCUCUGGUGAAUUAGUGGCGAACGGGUGAGUAACACGUGAGUAACCUGCCCUUGACUCUGGGAUAACUGCGGGAAACUGUAGCUAAUACCGGAUACGACCCUCGGAGGCAUCUCCUGGGGGUGGAAAGAAUUUCGGUCAAGGAUGGACUCGCGGACUAUUAGCUAGUUGGUGAGGUAACGGCUCACCAAGGCAACGAUGCGUAGCCGACCUGGGGGGGUGGUCGGCCACACUGGGACUGAGACACGGCCCAGACUCCUGCGGGAGGCAGCAGUAGGGAAUCUUCCGCAAUGGACUAAAGUCUGACGGAGCAACGCCGCGGGAGUGAUGAAGGCUUUCGGGUCGUAAAACUCUGCUGUUAGGGAAGAACAAGUGCUAGUUGAAUAAGCUGGCACCUUGACGGUACCUAACCAGAAAGCCACGGCUAACUACGUGCCAGCAGCCGCAGUAA